rnacentral:rRNA from 1 species
GUAGUCUCGCACAGAUGCAUAUCAAUAAGCGGAGGAAAAGAAACUAACAAGGAUUCCCCUAGUAACGGCGAGUGAAGCGGGAAGAGCUCAAAUUUGAAAUCUUAAAGGGUUUCCCUUUACGAAUUGUAGUUUAAAGAAGUGUUUUCUGUUGAGGUUUUGGUAAAAGUUCUUUGGAAUAGGACAUCAUAGAGGGUGAGAAUCCCGUAUUUGACCUUUACUUUCAACUUUGUGAUACACUUUCAAAGAGUCGGAUUGUUUGGGAAUGCAGUCCAAAAUGGGUGGUAAAUUUCAUCUAAAGCUAAAUAUUGGCGAGAGACCGAUAGCGAACAAGUACCGUGAGGGAAAGAUGAAAAGAACUUUGAAAAGAGAGUUAAACAGUACGUGAAAUUGUCAAAAGGGAAGCGUUUGACACCAGUGUUGUUUUUCUGAAAAUCAAUUAAAGAACUGUUUAUGCUAAGUUGUUUAGACUUUAUCAGCUAACUGUUUAGUUUUGAGCUUUUCUUUAAUGCACUUUUCAGUUAACAAGUCAACAUCAAUUUCUUUUGCUGUAAAAAAGCUUGAGGAAGGUGGCUUGAGAUUCGUCUUAAGUGUUUAUAGCCUCUUGCCUAUGCAGUCGGAGAGAUUGAGGUCUGCAGCGUAGAUCCUUCGGGGCUAAAUGCAUUUGUGCUAAGUUAUAGCAUUUUAUAGACAACUUGUUGACUAUGAUUUGUCUUGUAGCUUACUCGCUUAUGUUAUUUUACCUACGCUUAGGAUGUUGAACUACUGAGACAUAGA